rnacentral:lncRNA from 1 species
UUGGUGCAAUGACUUCUGUGCACGUCAUUUCAGUUAAAACUUAGUUGUAGGAGUUUAUUUGGCCAAGCGAACAGCACAGUCCAUGCCGAAGGCAGGCGAAGGCAAGAAAGGAUUUAUGAGGAAUAAGCCUUCAACAGCUUUAAUCAUAUGGCCCAAAGCAUUACGAUACAAUUAAGCGGAAUGGAAGGCGGAAUCCGGCUUCUGAAGGCAAAGCUUUGGAGGCAUGCGCAUGUCUUGAGGAUUUGGUGUAAAGUUUAACUUAUGCCUAACGAUGCCGUCCGUAACCAGUGAUUCCACUGAAGGCCCGUACCGAUGCGGAUGCUCUAUCCAUUCCUAACCGAAGUCAGUUUUCUUAUCUUAGGACAAAUGGAUAGAUGGGACAUAUGAGACAUGAACAGUAUUCAUACAAGGGAUAAAUAUUGUGGCAGCACUUUUAUAUCAAUUACACCCAAAAAACCGCAUCUUCUCCAUUACUGCAUUCUUACCUACAGGCCGUCGGGCCGGAAGGGACGCUGCCUACGGCAUUACAACUUUUACCAAUGUACACAAUUUUUUUACCUCAUCCAAAUGAAGUAACACUAGCUGAAACUAAACGUUCCAGGCACCCAUGUUGGAAAAAUGACCAACAUUCGUAUACAGACAGAAUUUCAAGGCAUAGACCCUAGGCGGCGAUCCCUCCGUCGGAAUUUCUAAUGCUGGAUGAUCCUAGAGGAUUCUAGUGGGUGUCAGCCCCGGUAGACUACUCCUUGACAUCUGAACCUUCACGAUGGCGCAGCAGUUACCCUGCCUUCCGUUUACGACAAAUUAGUCAAGCCUCGAUUAUCUGAGCAAUACGGUUACGAAGAGAGUCACAAGCAUUGGAUUAAAGGAAAAGAUUGGUUACCUGAAAUCCUUGAUCCUCAUAUGUAAUCCCGCUGUCGCACCUUUGGGCCUGUACGGCUGUUAGGAAAGAAUAAGAACCGAAGCGAUACAGCAUCAGAUGAAAUACCUUUUCUAAUGUAGUCGUCCGCAUCUAAGCGUGCCUCAGCUGCAACAAAUUAUAAUCUGCUGCGUUACCUCGUGCCUCGUUGUGGAACAGCAAACGCAGGUGCCUUCCUGAUAACUUAUCAUGUAUCUUUUGCGUUAGGUAAAAGUUUUACCUUACCGUCAAUGCUUGCUACCCGGUUCAUCGGCCAAUUGCAGCUGGAGUUCUGCGGUUGGUUGUACCAGUACGCGAUAAA